rnacentral:rRNA from 1 species
GACGUAGGGCGCGAGCGUUGUCCGGAUUUAUUGGGCGUAAAGCGCGUGUAGGCGGCUCGGUAAGUCUGCUGCGAAAGUCCAGGGCUCAACCCUGGAAUGCCGGUGGAUACUGUCGAGCUCGAGUCCGGAAGAGGCGAGUGGAAUUCCUGGUGUAGCGGUGAAAUGCGCAGAUAUCAGGAGGAACACCAAUGGCGAAGGCAGCUCGCUGGGACGUGACUGACGCUGAGACGCGAAAGCGUGGGGAGCAAACAGG